GACAGAGGCCUCGAGCGUUAGGCGGAAUCACUGGGCUUAAAGCGUGUGUAGGCGGAUCGUUAAGUACCUUGUGAAAUCCCACGGCUCAACCGUGGAACGGCUGGGUAUACUGGCGGUCUUGGGCCAUUCAGGGGCGACUGGAACAAGCGGUGGAGCGGUGAAAUGCGUAGAUAUCAUUUGGAACGCCAAUGGUGAAAACAGCUCGCUGGGGGUUUGCUGACGCUGAGACACGAAAGCCAGGGGAGCGAACGGG
rnacentral:rRNA from 1 species